rnacentral:rRNA from 1 species
ACUGGUGCGGGGCCAGGGGGCGGGUGAAUAAAGAGGGGUCAAGGGUUGUUCGGAAUUACUGGGGGUAAAGGGCGCGUAGGCGGCCUGCUAAGUCGAACGGGAAAUCCCCGAGCUGAACUCGGGAACUGCGUCCGAUACUGGCAGGAUUGAAUCCGGGAGAGGGAUGCGGAAUGCCAGGUGUAGCGGUGAAAUGCGUAGAUAUCUGGAGGAACACCGGUGGCGAAGGCGGCAUCCUGGACCGGCAUUGACGCUGAGGCGCGAAAGCCAGGGGAGCAAACGGGAUUAGAUACCCUGGUAGUC